AUAAUCAUUAGUCUUUUAAUUGAAGGCUGGAAUGAAUGGUUGGACAAAAAAUAAGCUGUCCGCAGUUAUAAUUAUUGAAUUUAACUUUUAAGUGAAAAGGCUUAAAUAGUCUAAGGGGUCGAUAAGACCCUAUAAAGCUUUACGAUUGUUUAUUAAAUCAAAAAUUGUAAGUAUAAAUUUUAUUUAAUAGACAUUUGUUUCGUUGGGGCGACGAGAAUAAAAUUUAGUAACUGUUCUUUUAGAGUAUAACAAUUAUAAUUGAAGGAAAAUUGAUCCCUUAUUAAGGAUUAAAAAUUUAAGUUACCUUAGGGAUAACAGCGUAAUCUUUUUUGAGAGUCCAUAUCGACAAAAAGGGUU
rnacentral:rRNA from 1 species